rnacentral:tRNA from 1 species
UCCUCAGUAGCUCAAUCGGCAGAGUACCUGACUGUUAAUCAGGGUGUUACUGGUUCGAGUCCAGUCUGGGGAGCCA